AUGGAUUUUUCUGGCCCUGCUAUGCCUCUCUUGUCGCUGAACCCAGAGUAACAGGCCAAAUUUCAGAAGCAGGUGGCACAGGCCCGCCGGUGCACACCCAGCAAGAAAAAUUUACUCCUGGAGUAGUAUAUGUGGGCCACUUACCCCGAGGCCUUUUUGAACCCCAAUUGAAGGCGUAUUUCUCCCAGUUUGGUACUGUUACACGACUCAGAUUGUCCAGAAGUAAAAAGUCUGGAAAGAGUAAAGACUAUGCCUUUGUGGAGUUUGAGUCUGAUGAUGUUGCCAAGAUAGUUGCUGAAACAAUGAACAACUACCUUUUUGGUGAAAGACUCUUGAAAUGCGAUUUGAUGCCAUCUGAGAAAGUACAUGAAAAACUUUUCAAAGACUGGGAUGUUCCCUUUAAAAAGCCAUCAAAUCCAGCAGUGAAACGGUAUAAUAAGAAACGGACAACUGCAGAAAAGCUACGGAUGGAGAAGCGAUUUAAGAACAAAGAAAAAUUACUCAGGAAGAAGAUAGCUAAAAAAGGAAUAGUGUAUGAUUUUCCUCCAUUGAUUUUACCAAAAAAGAAA